rnacentral:rRNA from 1 species
GCUAGUUGUGCGGGUUUAGACCCGCAGCGGAAAGCUCAGUAACACGUGGCCAAACUACCCUGUGGAUGGGAACAAUCUCGGGAAACUGAGGCUAAUUCCCAAUAACGCUCCGCCCCUGGAACGGGCGGAGCUGGAAACGCUACGGCGCCACAGGAUGUGGCUGCGGUCGAUUAGGUAGACGGUGGGGUAACGGCCCACCGUGCCAAUAAUCGGUACGGGUUGUGAGAGCAAGAGCCCGGAGACGGAAUCUGAGACAAGAUUCCGGGCCCUACGGGGCGCAGCAGGCGCGAAACCUUUACACUGUACGCAAGUGCGAUAAGGGGACUCCGAGUGUGAAGGCAUAGAGCCUUCACUUUUGUACACCGUAAGGUGGUGUACGAAUAAGGGCUGGGCAAGACCGGUGCCAGCCGCCGCGGUAAUACCGGCAGCCCGAGUGAUGGCCGAUAUUAUUGGGCCUAAAGCGUCCGUAGCUGGCCGGACAAGUCCGUUGGGAAAUCUGUUCGCUUAACGAGCAGGCGUCCAGCGGAAACUGUUCGGCUUGGGACCGGAAGACCUGAGGGGUACGUCCGGGGUAGGAGUGAAAUCCUGUAAUCCUGGACGGACCACCGGUGGCGAAAGCGCCUCAGGAGGACGGAUCCGACAGUGAGGGACGAAAGCUAGGGUCUCGAACCGGAUUAGAUACCCGGGUAGUCCUAGCUGUAAACGAUGCCCGCUAGGUGUGGCGCAGGCUACGAGCCUGCGCUGUGCCGUAGGGAAGCCGAGAAGCGGG